rnacentral:rRNA from 1 species
AUUCCAGCUCCAAUAGCGUAUAUUAAAGUUGUUGCGGUUAAAAAGCUCGUAGUUGGAUCUCGGUUUCACUCAGGUGGUACACCUUGCGGUGUUCACUAUCUGGGUGGACGUUUCUGUUGGUUCGCUCUUGGUGCUCUUCAUCGGGUGCCAUUUGGUGGCCAGCACGUUUACUUUGAAAAAAUUGGAGUGCUCAAAGCAGGCGUUACAGCCUGAACAUUAGUGCAUGGAAUAAUGGAAUAGGAUCUCGAUUCUAUUUCGUUGGCUUUCGGAGUCGAGGUAAUGAUUAAUAGGGACAGACGGGGGCAUUCGUACUGCGACGUUAGAGGUGAAAUUCUUGGAUCGUCGCAAGACGAACUACUGCGAAAGCAUUUGCCAAGAAUGUUUUCAUUAAUCAAGAACGAAAGUUAGAGGUUCGAAGGCGAUCAGAUACCGCCCUAGUUCUAACCAUAAACGAUGCCAACCGGCGAUCCGUCGUCGUUAAUUGAAUGACUCGACGGGCAGCCUCCGGGAACCAGAGUGUUUGGGUUCCGGGGGAAGUAUGGUUGCAAAGCUGAAACUUAAAGGAAUUGACGGAAGGGCACCACCAGGAGUGGAGCCUGCGGCUUAAUUUGACUCAACACGGGAAAUCUCACCAGGCCCGGACACCGGAAGGAUUGACAGAUUGAGAGCUCUUUCUUGAUUCGGUGGGUGGUGGUGCAUGGCCGUUCUUAGUUGGUGGAGCGAUUUGUCUGGUUAAUUCCGAUAACGAACGAGACUCUGGCCUACUAACUAGAAGGUCUAUCCUUUAUGGGUAGGCCUCUGCUUCUUAGAGGGACGGGCGGCGUUUAGCCGCACGAGAAUGAGCAAUAACAGGUCUGUGAUGCCCUUAGAUGUUCUGGGCUGCACGCGCGCUACACUGAAGGAAUCAGCAUGUUCUCCCCUCCCUGAAAAGGGCGGGUAACCCGUUGAAACUCCUUCGUGAUGGGGAUUGGAGAUUGUAAUUAUUCUCCAUGAACGAGGAAUUCCCAGUAGGCGCGAGUCAUCAGCUUGCGUCGAUUACGUCCCUGCCCUUUGUACACACCGCCCGUCGCUACUACCGAUCGAGUGAUUUAGUGAGGACUUCGGACUGGUCUUCAAGUUGGCUUCGGUCGGCUCGAAGUUCCGGAAAGAUGCCCAAACUUGAUCACUUAGAGGAAGUAAAAGUCGUAACAAGGUUUCCGUAGGUGCCUGCGGAAG